rnacentral:rRNA from 1 species
GAUGAACGCUGGCGGCGUGCCUAAUACAUGCAAGUCGAGCGAACAGACGAGGAGCUUGCUCCUCUGACGUUAGCGGCGGACGGGUGAGUAACACGAGGAUAACCUACCUAUAAGACUGGGAUAACUUCGGGAAACCGGAGCUAAUACCGGAUAAGAUAUAGAACCGCAUGGUUCAAUAGUGAAAGACGGUUUUGCUGACAAGAAUAGAUGGAACCGCGCCGCAUUAGAUAGUUGGGAAGGUAACGGCGUACCAAGGCAACGAUGCGUAGCCGACCUGAGAGGGUGAUCGGCCACACUGGAACUGAGACACGGUCCAGACUCCUACGGGAGGCAGCAGUCGGGCAUCUUCGUCAAUGGUCUCCCUCUUUCCCCCUCCCCCCCUCCUGUGUGCUGCCCUUCUUCUGAUCGUACAACUCUGUUAUUAGGGCAUAACCUCUUUGUAAGUAACUAUUCACGUCUUGACGGUACCUAAUCAGCACGCCACGGCUAACUACGUG